rnacentral:rRNA from 1 species
UACGUAGGGUGCAAGCGUUAAUCGGAAUUACUGGGCGUAAAGCGUGCGCAGGCGGUGAUGUAAGACAGUUGUGAAAUCCCCGGGCUCAACCUGGGAACUGCAUCUGUGACUGCAUCGCUGGAGUGCGGCAGAGGGGGAUGGAAUUCCGCGUGUAGCAGUGAAAUGCGUAGAGAUCGGCAGGAACACCCAGGGGGAAACCAGUCGACUGGGCAUCUACUGACGCUGAGGUGCGAGAGCGUGGUGAGCGAACCGG